CGUUUCCAGUUGCUUUCAUUUCUUCAAAAAUCGUUAUCAGAGUCACUUUUCUAAUAUUGAAUAUCCUCAUCAUUAUAGCGUGUAAAAACCUGGAACAUAUCAGAAAAUGUAUAUAAUUACUUUCAUAUCAUUCAACCUGAUUGGCAAAAAUGUUUUUUGGUCUUAACUGUUGUGAGUUGUUGGAAAAUCAUUUAUGAGUUGAUAUAAUGCCUGAACAUAAGUUUUCUGUUAUCAGUGGAGUGCAGCUGCAGCUUUCUGCUGCUGAAGUUAUUUUCAUUACUUCUUCUUUCUAUGACAUGCAAUAUUUCACCCAUAUGUCUUUUAUCAGCUCCCUGGAUGCCUGUUGAUCCAGCACUCAUCACUCUGGCAUUCCAAAAGGAAGAGGAAAAGGCCAAAAUCACAAUCAAGAAAUUGGAUGCAAUUAUUAUGGAUGCUGGGCUCCAAGCCAACGUUGUUAGAGCGCACGGCAAUCCCGGGGAACAGAUAGUCAAAAAGUCGGAAGAACUUGGAAUCACCAUGAUAAUUAUCGCCUCGCGUGGACUGGGAACGAUCAGACGGACUAUAAUGGGGAGUGUCAGCGAUUAUGUGGUCCACCAUUCGUCCAUACCAGUUGUCGUAUGUCGUAAUUAAAACACGCAUUUACCAGCUAAAUCAGGGAUGUUUUUUUCAAUGUGUUCAAGACACAUUUCUAUGUGUUCAAAACACAUACCAGUGCCAUUUUUUUAUGUCAACAUUCUAUGUUGCAAUGCCUUUGGACUUGUAAUGACUAUUACUUAUAUGUCCCUAAAAUUGCAAAGAUACAUCAAUAAAGCAUCAAUUAGUAUGAACGUAUGGGUGAAUUUUUUUUUUUUGGAAAAAUUUUAACUGCCAGUUGUAUUUGAGGAACACAUUUAUGCAUUCUUGACUACUUUGUCACAGUAAAAUCGUCAUAAGUUACUACAUAGAAAUGUGAAAUUUCAUAAGCCACGUUUUUCAAACAGUUUUAUCUUUCUUGUGUAUUUGUUUCAUUUGUUUUUGUACCUAAUGGUUUCUUGUUGAAAGGAAGUUUAUCUUAAUUUUUUUGUUAAUUUGUCUUAUUUUUAUUGAUGAAAAUGAUUAUAGCAGUCUUGAGAAAUAAAAAGUUUUUUAUUG